rnacentral:pre_miRNA from 10 species
CCAUGCAUACUCGUAUAUAUGUGUGUGUGUUUAUGUGUAUAUGCUUGUGUAUACACACACACACACAUAUAUAUAUGGGUAUGCAUGGU